rnacentral:rRNA from 1 species
UACGUAGGGUCCGAGCGUUGUCCGGAAUUACUGGGCGUAAAGAGCUCGUAGGCGGUCUGUCGCGUCUGCUGUGAAAACUCAGGGCUUAACCCUGAGCUUGCAGUGGGUACGGGCAGACUAGAGUUCGGCAGGGGAGACUGGAAUUCCUGGUGUAGCGGUGAAAUGCGCAGAUAUCAGGAGGAACACCGGUGGCGAAGGCGGGUCUCUGGGCCGAUACUGACGCUGAGGAGCGAAAGCGUGGGGAGCGAACAGG